rnacentral:rRNA from 1 species
GACGAACGCUGGCGGCGUGCUUAACACAUGCAAGUCGAACGGAAAGGCCCUGCUUUUGUGGGGUGCUCGAGUGGCGAACGGGUGAGUAACACGUGAGUAACCUGCCCUUGACUUUGGGAUAACUUCAGGAAACUGGGGCUAAUACCGGAUAGGAGCUCCUGCUGCAUGGUGGGGGUUGGAAAGUUUCGGCGGUUGGGGAUGGACUCGCGGCUUAUCAGCUUGUUGGUGGGGUAGUGGCUUACCAAGGCUUUGACGGGUAGCCGGCCUGAGAGGGUGACCGGCCAAAUGGGGACUGAGAUACGGCCCAGACUACUACGGGAGGCAGCAGUGGGGAAUAUUGCAAAAUGGGCGGAAGCCUGAUGCAGCAACGCCGCGUGCGGGAUGACGGCCUUCGGGUUGUAAACCGAUAUCGCCUGUGACGAAGCGUGAGUGACGGUAAUGGGUAAAGAAGCACCGGCUAACUACGUG